AUUGAACGCUGGCGGCAGGCCUAACACAUGCAAGUCGAACGGUAACAGGAAGCAGCUUGCUGCUUCGCUGACGAGUGGCGGACGGGUGAGUAAUGUCUGGGAAACUGCCUGAUGGAGGGGGAUAACUACUGGAAACGGUAGCUAAUACCGCAUAACAUCGCAAGACCAAAGAGGGGGACCUUAGGGCCUCUUGCCAUCGGAUGCGCCCAGAUGGGAUUAGCUAGUAGGUGGGGUAACGGCUCACCUAGGCGACGAUCCCUAGCUGGUCUGAGAGGAUGACCAGCCACACUGGAACUGAGACACGGUCCAGACUCCUACGGGAGGCAGCAGUGGGGAAUAUUGCACAAUGGGCGCAAGCCUGAUGCAGCCAUGCCGCGUGUAUGAAGAAGGCCUUCGGGUUGUAAAGUACUUUCAGCGGGGAGGAAGGGAGUAAAGUUAAUACCUUUGCUCAUUGACGUUACCCGCAGAAGAAGCACCGGCUAACUCCGUG
rnacentral:rRNA from 1 species